GAGCUCUUGACCCAAUCGUUUCUUCAAGUUCGUCUACAGCAGUAAGCUUUAGGAGCCGCGGUUUCGGAAGGCAAUAGCCCGUCUAGCACUAUUGCAAAGUGGAACUUACGAGCUUCAGUUUGGGAAGACAGUCCGCGCGUCGUCUAAACCUUUUGUCUACUAAAAACCAGUAUUGCAAAGUGGGACUGACUUACAAGCUUCGCUUUGGGAAGACUGUCCAUCGUCUAAACCUCUGAUUAAACAUGGAAAUAAAGGAUGGCUUGAGUGCAGCUAGUUUUGAAGCUCUUAGCAAAGAUAAUUAUGUGGCUUGGAGUGUUCGGGUUAAAACCUAUUUGAUGGCUCAAGAUCUGUGGGAAAUAGUGGAAGCAACCACUGAACCUCCUAAGCAAGAAUAUGAUGAAGCGGCUUUCAAUACUUGGAGCAAGAAGAAUUCCAUGGCUUUAAAUGUGAUCCAGGUUUCAUGCGGGCCAAACGCAUUGUCUAUUAUUAGGCAUAUUAGUUCUGCUAAAAUUGCAUGGAAUACUUUAAAAGGUCUCUCUCUCUCUCUCUCUCUCUCUCUCUCUCUCUCUCAAAAAUGCAUAGCUUCAAACAAAGGUUGCUUCUGAGUGCAGUUGUUCUUCAAGUUCUUGAGAAACAUAAUUAUGUGGAUUGGAGUUUUCGGGUAAAAACUUAUUUGAUGGCUCAUGGUCUUUGGGAAAUAAUUGAAGUAACCACUGAACCUCCAAAGCGAGAAGAUGAUGAAGUUGCUUUUAAGUCUUGGAGUAAGAAGAACUCCAUGGCCUUACAUGUAAUCCAAAUUUCAUGCGGACUAGACACAUUUUCUGAGAUUUAUCAUAUUAGUUUGGCAAAAAUCGCUUGGGAUACGUUGGCAAAAAAGCAUAGCAUGCCUAGAGGUACUGACUCAAGUCCCCCUCUCUCUCACACUCAACCGUGCAAAUGCUCAUAAUAGUCGGCAUGUUUUCUUGUUAAUUCAAUUCUGUCAUCUUAAAUUUUACCAUGGUUUUAGAAAUGUCCAUUUGCCAACUUAUUUUUGAAUUAAUUGGCAUAGUGCCAUGUCAGAUAAAUAAAUUCAUGAAACUUAGUUAAAUAAAAAAUAUAACUAAAAAAAAUAAAAUAGUGGUGGCUAUGAGCUAGUCCUCCUGUCACAUAAAUUUAAAAAGUAUAAAUAUCUUAUUAAAGAAGUUCUUGUCACCUAAUGAUAGUUCCUUUUAUCUUUCAAAGUUUUGGUUCACAAUGACUAUUACUUAUUCUUUUUCAGUUAUGUUAUUAAAUCUAGUAAUUUUUUUUUCUUUUCCAAACGGGGGAGAGGGAACAUGAGUUAUUUAUUCUAGUCCAAUUGGUCGAUUUUAUUAUUUUUGGAAAAUCAUUAGUUCAAUAAAUUCUUAUUGGUUUUCUUGCAGGGUAUAGUAAACUAUGUAACCAAAAUUAGUCUUGUUAGAACAGUUUCCGGUACGGUGUGAACUGUAUGUUCUUCGAUGCUCUUCACGCUCCCACGAUCAUUGCAAAACAACUAAAACUAAAAGACCCUUCCAGGGGUCUUGCCCCGAUGCCUAAAUUAGUUUUUGAGAGAAAAGUAUGCUCAAAGCAUAAAAUAAUCAGUCUGUCAUUUAUAUUUGGGGUAUGGGCCUAUUUAUAGGCAAAGAGAUUAAGUCAAACUUGAAUUAGGUUUUCUACUCAUACUUAACCAUGGAAUUUGAUUUGGCCUGGAGUCCCAUCGCCAUUCAAUCUGGAGUAAGACAGCUAACCAGAUUCUUCAAUGAGUCCUAAUUGGACUCGGAUUGUGAGUCAUAACCUCCCAAUUCGACUUGGAGUAAGGUUCUGAUCCCGAUUUUAAGUGGGAUUUAUUCCCAAUAGUUACCCCCAAUUCCCUUAUCCGAGACAUACUCGGAUAAUGGGAAUUCUAUGUCUCUAAAAAUUGGAGCAUUAACUUCUUCCGAGGCUUGAACAAUCUUUAGCUCCUGACCCUUAAAAGUCUCGGGUUCAAAUUCUACACUUCCUGGGGAUACUGGGCGUGUGAUCACACCCGAGACAUGUCUUUCUAUCCUAGUGAAGAUCGACCAACCCCACUGCCUUCGGAUUCCGGGGGUGACAAUCCUUAGUAAAUUUUGUUGAGAAUAUCUUUCGGAAAUGUGUGAUACCUUUGUAGUUUCUGAAAACCUGAAACCUGCAAACCCGAGGGUUAAAUCCAACCCCCAUGCCUUCUCAUUUUUCUUAGGGUUUUCUCCCUCUAACUUGAAAAACUGAGGGUUAUCGGAAAAGCGAGGGUUACGUGAAAACUGAAGGUUGUCUCCCUUCCUUGUUUUCUCUGCAAGGUUUUCUCCCUGGACUUUCCUUACGGUUUUCUCUCGUCCUUGUUUUCUCUACAAGGUCGUCUCCCUUGAUUUGCCUUAUGGUUUUCCCCUAUCUCCAGGGUAGCUCCAUGCCUUCUUGUUUUUUCUUAGGGUUUUCUCUCUAUCUCCAUGGAUGACCCUAUUCCUCUUGAGAAUCGAGGGUCGUCUCCCUUCAUCCGAGGUUGGCUCCAUGUCUUCUUGUUAUUGAUAAGGUUGUCUCUUUGCCUUGUUUUCUCUGCAAGGUUGUCUCCCUGGAUUUGCCUUAGGCUUUUCUCCCUUUCUUGUUUUCUCUGCAGGGUUGUCUCCUUGGAUUUGCCUUAGGCCUU